UACGUAGGUGGAUUGUUAAGUGAGGGGUGAAAUCCCAGGGCUCAACCCUGGAACUGCCUUUCAUACUGGCAAUCUUGAGUUCGAGAGAGGUGAGUGGAAUUCCGAGUGUAGAGGUGAAAUUCGUAGAUAUUCGGAGGAAUACCAGUGGCGAAGGCGGCUCACUGGCUCGAUACUGACACUGAGGUACGAAAGCGUGGGGAGCAAACAGGAUUAGAUACCCUGGUAGUCC
rnacentral:rRNA from 1 species